GCCGGCGUGGCGGAAUUGGCAGACGCCUGGGACUUAAAAUCCCAUGGUCAGUAAUGACCGUGCCGGUUCGAGCCCGGCCGCCGGCA
rnacentral:tRNA from 1 species